GGGCCUCAGCCAGGGCCCCACAGUUUGGGUUAAAAGUCCAGCUGCCAUCUUUUCUCUCUCUGACGCAUGCAAUGGAAAAGGCUUUAUCAGAUCGGGUAGCCCCAGGGCUGGGGCUGCCAGAAAUUUUCCUUUAACUAAUGAAAGACUUGCUGUUGUUGGGAUCCCCAUUUCAAAGGUUCCGGGUCUCCACCCCCUUUGUGACCUCAUACAAAGGCUUGGCUAAUACUGCAAAGUUUGGGAUCCACAGUUUACAAAACCCCACAGCUCCUAAGAAUUCUCUCACCUGCCUUCUGCCCUUAAGCUCUGGUAGAUUGCAAAUAACCUGCUUUCUUUCUGUUCCGGAGCUGGGUUCGGACCCCUCUCGUAUUGGAAAUCCCACACAAGACAGAAAGACAACAGGUACAAAGCCCUAAGGAUUAUAAAGGUAUGCUGCUUACCAUCAUCUUUGUGACCAAGGCAGCGAAGCUGUUUCUGUACCUUGGAACAGUCUUCCCUGACAAGCCAGAGAACAGCGAUAAAGCCACCAGCCUUGGGAUCAGGACUGAAAAGGCAAGAGUGAUGGAGAUUUCUCCUGCGCUAAGCCAAGAGAAGGUUUCAGCACCUCAGACAGCUCCCACCGAAGUAGCCGCGCUCCCAGCUGCUUGCAGAUGUUGAAAAGGAAAGCCUCGGUUUGUCUUGAGGUUGUCAGCAGUUGCAAGACACGUAAUAAAAUGCAAUGUGUUCCUAAUUCAUUGCAUAUCCUCAGCUUUAAAUUUGGGUAGCAAAAUGAUUACUCUAGAUUCUUCAGCCUUGGCAAGUAUCUGUACCUAAAAAGCAGUUUUUCUACCUAAUGUCUUUUUUUGUUUUUGUUUUUCAAUACACCUUAAGCAAAUUGAAGCUUUUGUUCCUGGAGGAAAAGUGGUUUGAUAUGUUCAUCUAUCUUUUAGUAAAUUUGGG
rnacentral:lncRNA from 1 species